UACAUGUAAAGAUAGCAGUUUCAAAGGUUAAUCCAACCUCUAGUGGCUGUCUUCCUGACAGCCGCUAGAGGCGCAUCUGCAACGCUGGAUGCGAAAUUCGCAUCCAACUUGCAGAACGUCCACAGGAAAGCAUUGAGAAAUGCUUUCCUAUAGACCGUUUGAAUGUGUGCGUGGCACUUGUUGCGCAUGCGCAUUAUGCUCCACUCGGGAGUUGACGGCAGGGGAGGAGAGG